rnacentral:lncRNA from 1 species
UUCAUUUUCCUUCAUCAUUUUUGCUAGUGCUCUUAAGUCAUCUCAUUAUUCACUUCCCAUGUAUUGUUUGGAAUCCCCAUUUCUUUGGUACUUUAUUCCACAAUUUUCUUUUUCAUUUUUUUUUCUUUAUAUAUGGAGGGGUUCCCUUUUUCUCAACACCACAGGUUAAGGGAGACUUUUCUUGCACUUCUUGACCUUCCCUUUUCUUUUCAUUUCACUCCACCCCCAAGUUAGGCUUUUGGUCUAAGUUGGCUAUUCAAUUAACCACAACUCAGAAGGAUUAUAGGUAGUGGAUAAAGAAAGGUUUAGUGUUCAUCAAGUUUCUUCCAAAGAGAGGUCAGGCUCAAG